ensembl:lncRNA
UACAACUAUACCUUAUUUUGUAAUGGCAAAAUAAUAAUAUUGACAUCAUAUUGACUAGUGCAUUAGAUCACAAAGCAUCAAUGUCAAUCUACAUGUCAGGGACACGUGUCAUCCAUAUAAGUGCUUAUUUCAAGACAUGAAAUAUUUGUCUCUGACAUUCUCACUUUUAAAAUGUCUAAAUACCUAUUAGAUAGAAAAGGUACAGUACACACUGGGAAUAGCACACCACAGCCAAAACAGAUACAAGUAAAUUUACAGUUUUUCUCGAUUGCUUUCUCGAUGCUGAGUAACCUGUACAUUUGCUACAUUUGGAAAUGAAGCUUUUGGAAAAUGGGUAUUUUAUUGUGCAUGGACUCUUCCUUACAUGUUUUGUCAGUGUGACAUUUCAAAGGUCAGGUUUUUGACCAAAACAGCAUAUACAUUAGUAUUCCCUUAUCCACUAAUGUACGAGGUAUUUAUUACAGUAGUAUUCCCUUAUCCACUAAUGUACGAGGUAUUUAUUACAGUAGUAUUCCCUUAUCCACUAAUGUACGAGGUAUUUAUUCUAGUAGUAUUCCCUUAUCCACUAAUGUACGAGGUAUUUAUUAGUAGUAUUCCCUUAUCCACUAAUGUACGAGGUAUUUAUUAGUAGUAUUCCCUUAUCCACUAAUGUACGAGGUAUUUAUUACAGUAGUUUUCCCAUAUCCACUAAUGAACGAGGUAUUUAUUACAGUAGUAUUCCCUUAUCCACUAAUGUACGAGGUAUUUAUUAGUAGUAUUCCCUUAUCCACUAAUGUACGAGGUAUUUAUUAGUAGUAUUCCCUUAUCCACUAAUGUACGAGGUAUUUAUUACAGUAGUAUUCCCUUAUCCACUAAUGUACGAGCUAUUUAUUACAGUACUGUUUUGAAGUUCUCUCGCCAGGGUGUUCCUGAAAAGAUUAUCUGGAUAGUCAGUGCUGUGAUUUUACAAAGUUCAACAUAAUUGAUCUGAAAACCUAUUCUAAACAUUUUGGUAGCAGUAUUUUGAAUAAAUCCCUCCAGUGUGUAACAAACAGUCAUGGAGUCUGUUUUUGACAGUUUGUGUGUGUUGUCUGAGGGCAAAGUUUGAAUUGGGACCCAGAAGUUAGAUGUUUGUACCGUUGGGUGUGAGUUUUUUACAAUUGUGUGUGAAGAUUUGAGAAAAUGGUGAGUUGUUCCAGGAAUUGUGUCUAAGCAAUUGAGAAACUGUAAAAGGGAUAAUCCACCCCGAGAAAUGAAACAGGUCAAUUUCGUGAAAGCCUAUGUUCAAUCAGUGGAUAAAAAAAUGUUUCCCUCAUGAUUAAAAUUUUAAGUGGUGCGUCUGCGAAACCAGGAAAUCAUGUAGGAACGCGUCAUAGCUACACGGUUCUCAUCACUGUAUAUAGUGUGUUUUCUCCUUCAAGUACCAUAAUGCAAUGUGUGUCUGUGGGAAACGUGGGAAAAAGGCAUCGUCCUCUGCUCUCGCUUGGUGAGAGAGCCUCCUAAAUUGAUAAUGUAGUUUGUUUACGUGAUUUUUAAAGCUACAGUGCCUUGCGAAAGUAUUCGGCCCCCUUGAACUUUGCGACC